CCACCACCGUGUCUGACACUUU
rnacentral:miRNA from 3 species